GCCGCGGUGGCUUAGUGGUUGGUGGUUUGGUGGAUAGAGCGUUCGCCCCACAUGCGAAAGGCCGGGGUUCGAAUCCCGGCCGCGACA